rnacentral:lncRNA from 1 species
AUUAUAUAAGCCUUCAUAUCAUGCAAUCAAUUGUUUGGCUUAUAUAUCUUUAAUGAUUUAGCUUGCUUAAAAUUCAGAUUCUCCCCCUCGACAUAUGCAAUCUACUUUGUUUUGAUUCUAAGAAUUUUUGAGUUUUAAAUUUUUGGUUUUUAGAGGAAAAAUCUGUCAAUUUGUUCUUGAGUAGGAUUCAGCUAAUCUCCGAAUAUCCCUUGAAUAGAUUCUGAAGAUUACUCCAUUAGGAGCCCCAAAAGAGAGAUAAUGAGCCUCGAGGUACCAAAUCCACUUAGAACAAAUUUUUGUGUGUUUUAAAAGUUUUUCUUUUUUUUAUUGAUUUUCAUUG